GGACGCAAUGAGGCGGAGGCCCGGGAGAAGGCAGCCAAGGAGUUCGGAGUGUCCCCUGACAAGAUCAGUCUCCAGCAAGGCAAGGCGGGGCUUUGAGGGUCUGGAGGGAGUUGUGGGGGGCAGAGCUCCACUCCCUCUGACCUCUGACCUUUGGCCUCUCUCAGAUGAGGAUGUAUUGGAUACCUGGUUCUCCUCCGGCCUCUUCCCCUUAUCCAUUUUGGGCUGGCCCAACCAGGUGUGUUCCUGGGGCCGGGGCUUGGCGGGACAGGGGACUGGAGGGUGGGUGUUGGCUCCCCUUCACACCCUGGUCUGCCCUCAGUCAGAAGACCUGAGUGUGUUCUACCCUGGGACACUGCUGGAGACCGGUCACGACAUCCUCUUCUUCUGGGUGGCCCGGAUGGUCAUGCUGGGCCUGAAGCUCACGGGCAGGCUGCCCUUUAGAGAGGUCUACCUCCAUGCCAUCGUGCGAGAUGCUCACGGCCGGAAGAUGAGCAAGUCUCUAGGCAAUGUCAUCGAUCCCCUGGACGUCAUCUAUGGAAUCUCCCUGCAGGUGGGCUGGGUGCUGGGCCAGCCAGGAAGGGCCGUGGGGCUGUGGUCACAGCCACCUGACUGCUCCCACUCCACCCUCAGGGCCUCCACGACCAGCUGCUGAACAGCAACCUGGAUCCCAGCGAGGUGGAGAAGGCCAAAGA
rnacentral:sRNA from 1 species